rnacentral:rRNA from 1 species
AGAGUUUGAUCCUGGCUCAGAUUGAACGCUGGCGGCAGGCCUAACACAUGCAAGUCGAGCGGCAGCACAGAGAAACUUGUUUCUCGGGUGGCGAGCGGCGGACGGGUGAGUAAUGCCUGGGAAAUUGCCCUGAUGUGGGGGAUAACCAUUGGAAACGAUGGCUAAUACCGCAUGAUGCCUACGGGCCAAAGAGGGGGACCUUCGGGCCUCUCGCGUCAGGAUAUGCCCAGGUGGGAUUAGCUAGUUGGUGAGGUAAGGGCUCACCAAGGCGACGAUCCCUAGCUGGUCUGAGAGGAUGAUCAGCCACACUGGAACUGAGACACGGUCCAGACUCCUACGGGAGGCAGCAGUGGGGAAUAUUGCACAAUGGGCGCAAGCCUGAUGCAGCCAUGCCGCGUGUGUGAAGAAGGCCUUCGGGUUGUAAAGCACUUUCAGUUGUGAGGAAGGUGGUGUCGUUAAUAGCGGCAUCAUUUGACGUUAGCAACAGAAGAAGCACCGGCUAACUCCGUGCCAGCAGCCGCGGUAAUAC